GACGUAGGGCGCGAGCGUUGUCCGGAUUUAUUGGGCGUAAAGAGCUCGUAGGCGGCUUGUCGCGUCGAAUGUGAAAUCUCAGGGCUCAACUCCGAAACUGCAUUCGAUACUGCCGUGCUUGAGGACUGGAGAGGAGACUGGAAUUUACGGUGUAGCGGUGAAAUGCGUAGAUAUCGUAAGGAAGACCAGUGGCGAAGGCGGGUCUCUGGACAGUUCCUGACGCUGAGGCACGAAGGUCAGGGGAGCAAACGGG
rnacentral:rRNA from 1 species